AAAAUAAUCUAUAUAUAUAAAAUUCUCGUGUCGCGGUGUUAGUGUGCAAACUCCUCUUAAACGGCUGAACCGAUUUGUAUGAAAUUUUCGCUGAACGUUCGUUAGGUAUGAGAAUAGGUUUAGCGCUAUAGUUCGUUUCGCUAGGUGGCCUCUGGCCAAUAUUAUGAGUUCUUUUCUGUUUUUCCUACGGGAGUUAUCAAGUAGGCAUAGCCAUUUUUUCAACACGAAUAAAGUUGAACACUA